ensembl:lncRNA novel transcript
UUACUUCCCCCAGUGGAAAGGAAAAGGGCCCAUAGGAGCUGAAUCUGACUUUGGGACCCUCAGUGGGUGAGGUGGUGAGCCCGCAGUGACGUAUGCAAUGCCUGUCACAGUGCAGGCUAAAACCACAGGCUAUAACCAAUAGCAGUAACUGAAAAACAAAAUAAAGCUAAAAGCAGUGCUGUACAAUCAGCUCCAGGAGAUUUUCCACAUUCAUCCUUUUCGCUUACACUCUACACUUACUUGAAUGCAUUCACGGCCACUACUACUGGAAUUCCAAACAUUCUGGCAUUUUCAAUUUGUUUCUUCAAGUUACUGAAGCCUUUUUCAACCAGCUCCAGGUUCUGUAAAAACAACAGUGAAAGGCCUAUGAGAUCAGAGAGUUGAAAACCACUGCAGGUUCUUCUUCAAAGGCAAACAACCUCCUUGAGCCAGCAGCCACUCACUAUCAGGACAAGGAGGCCAAGAAAGAAGAGAGAAGGUCCCUUGGUGCAUUUUUUCCAGUGCGGUAAGAGACACAUAUCUUUGACUACAUGACUAAACGCAGCACUGG